rnacentral:rRNA from 1 species
UUAGUAGCGUAGNUAACGCGUGAAAUCGACCGCCUGGGGAGUACGGUNGCAAGAUUAAAACUCAAAGGAAUUGACGGGGACCCGCACAAGCGGUGGAUGAUGUGGAUUAAUUCGAUGCAACGCGAAGAACCUUACCUGGUCUUGACAUGUACGGAAUCUUUCAGAGACGGAAGAGUGCCUUCGGGANCCGUAACACAGGUGCCGCAUGGCUGUCGUCAGCUCGUGUCGUGAGAUGNUGGGUUAAGUCCCGCAACGAGCGCAACCCUUGUCAUUAGUUGCCAUCAUUAAGUUGGGCACUCUAAUGAGACUGCCGGUGGCAAACCGGAGGAAGGUGGGGAUGACGUCAAGUCCUCAUGGCCCUUAUGACCAGGGCUUCACACGUCAUACAAUGGUCGGUACAAAGGGUAGCCAAGCCGCGAGGUGGAGCCAAUCUCAGAAAACCGAUCGUAGUCCGGAUUGCACUCUGCAACUCGAGUGCAUGAAGUCGGAAUCGCUAGUAAUCGCAGGUCAGCAUACUGCGGUGAAUACGUUCCCAGGUCUUGUACACACCGCCCGUCACACCAUGGGAGUGGGGGAUACCA